rnacentral:rRNA from 1 species
GGCGGUGGCUCGUACUAAUUGGCAGUCGAACGGUGAACACGGAGCUUGCUCUGUGGGAUCAGUGGCGAACGGGUGAGUAACACGUGAGCAACCUGCCCCUGACUCUGGGAUAAGCGCUGGAAACGGCGUCUAAUACUGGAUAUGUGACGUGACCGCAUGGUCUGCGUUUGGAAAGAUUUUUCGGUUGGGGAUGGGCUCGCGGCCUAUCAGCUUGUUGGUGAGGUAAUGGCUCACCAAGGCGUCGACGGGUAGCCGGCCUGAGAGGGUGACCGGCCACACUGGGACUGAGACACGGCCCAGACUCCUACGGGAGGCAGCAGUGGGGAAUAUUGCACAAUGGGCGAAAGCCUGAUGCAGCAACGCCGCGUGAGGGAUGACGGCCUUCGGGUUGUAAACCUCUUUUAGCAGGGAAGAAGCGAAAGUGACGGUACCUGCAGAAAAAGCGCCGGCUAACUACGUGCCAGCAGCCGCGGUAAUACGUAGGGCGCAAGCGUUAUCCGGAAUUAUUGGGCGUAAAGAGCUCGUAGGCGGUUUGUCGCGUCUGCUGUGAAAUCCCGAGGCUCAACCUCGGGCCUGCAGUGGGUACGGGCAGACUAGAGUGCGGUAGGGGAGAUUGGAAUUCCUGGUGUAGCGGUGGAAUGCGCAGAUAUCAGGAGGAACACCGAUGGCGAAGGCAGAUCUCUGGGCCGUAACUGACGCUGAGGAGCGAAAGGGUGGGGAGCAAACAGGCUUAGAUACCCUGGUAGUCCACCCCGUAAACGUUGGGAACUAGUUGUGGGGUCCAUUCCACGGAUUCCGUG